rnacentral:rRNA from 1 species
CAGCAGCCGCGGGAAUACGUAGGUGGCAAGCGUUGUCCGGAAUUAUUGGGCGUAAAGCGCGCGCAGGUGGUUUAAUAAGUCUGAUGUGAAAGCCCACGGCUCAACCGUGGAGGGUCAUUGGAAACUGUUAAACUUGAGUGCAGGAGAGAAAAGUGGAAUUCCUAGUGUAGCGGUGAAAUGCGUAGAGAUUAGGAGGAACACCAGUGGCGAAGGCGGCUUUUUGGCCUGUAACUGACACUGAGGCGCGAAAGCGUGGGGAGCAAACAGGAUUAGAUACCCGGGUAGUCCCUGUCUCUUAUAA